rnacentral:rRNA from 1 species
ACGCGUAUGCAAUCUACCUUUUACAGAGGGAUAGCCCAGAGAAAUUUGGAUUAAUACCUCAUAGUAUUAUUGAAUGGCAUCAUUUAAUAAUUAAAGUCACAACGGUAAAAGAUGAGCAUGCGUCCCAUUAGCUUGUUGGUAAGGUAACGGCUUACCAAGGCAACGAUGGGUAGGGGUCCUGAGAGGGAGAUCCCCCACACUGGUACUGAGACACGGACCAGACUCCUACGGGAGGCAGCAGUGAGGAAUAUUGGUCAAUGGGCGCAAGCCUGAACCAGCCAUGCCGCGUGCAGGAUGACGGUCCUAUGGAUUGUAAACUGCUUUUGUACAGGAAGAAACAGUUCUACGUGUAGAACCUUGACGGUACUGUAAGAAUAAGGAUCGGCUAACUCCGUGCCAGCAGCCGCGGUAAUACGGAGGAUCCAAGCGUUAUCCGGAAUCAUUGGGUUUAAAGGGUCCGUAGGCGGUUUUGUAAGUCAGUGGUGAAAGCCCAUCGCUCAACGGUGGAACGGCCAUUGAUACUGCAAGACUUGAAUUAUUGGGAAGUAACUAGAAUAUGUAGUGUAGCGGUGAAAUGCUUAGAGAUUACAUGGAAUACCAAUUGCGAAGGCAGGUUACUACCAAUAUAUUGACGCUGAUGGACGAAAGCGUGNGGAGCGAACAGGAUUAGAUACCCUGGUAGUCCACGCCGUAAACGAUGGAUACUAGCUGUUCGGAGCAAUCUGAGUGGCUAAGCGAAAGUGAUAAGUAUCCCACCUGGGGAGUACGUUCGCAAGAAUGAAAC